rnacentral:lncRNA from 1 species
UUAGCGAAGGCAUGAGCUACUUGGCGAAGGUAAAUGGUUAUACCCUCCCUCUGCCUUCCAUACUUAUCUUCAUAUUCAUAUAUCUGAAAACUGAUCAAAUAAUACUGAACAUGUACAGGCAAAUGCUGUAUUUGGGCGUCUACGUCCAAGAUCUCUCGAGGAUAAAUCCGGAGAGGAGGCGCUGAGGAAGGAGAACUCCAUCCUGGAGUCUGCCUUGGCUCGGGAAAGGACCCAACGUGAAGGCAUCCUUCGUACCAAUGAAGGACUUUAGAAAGAGUUGGCCCAAGCCAAGGAAGAUGUGAAGACCUCCAAGGAAGAACUGAAGUCGACUAAAGCACAGCAUGCUGAAAUCGUUAAUAUGAACGUCGACUUGGUUCAGAGGAGUGAACUAAGGAUGAACAAGAUCAAGGAUCUGAAGGCUGACGCUAAAAUCUUGAUCAAGACGAUCCAUAAGCUGGAGCGGGAAGGAACCCGUCAGAUGAAUAUACGGCAGCAGCUCGAGCAAGAAAUCCGAGAACUCAAG